UGGCUCAGUCUGGUAGAGCACCGCGUUCGGGACGCGGGGGUCGCAGGUUCGAAUCCUG
rnacentral:tRNA from 1 species